AUGUGAACUCUCAGAGAGUCACUGUGAAGUUGUGGCCACAGCUCUGAAGUCCACCCCUCCAUCUGAUAGAACUGGACCUGAGUGAGAACAAGCUGCAGAUACGGGAGUGAAGCAUCUUCUGUUGGACUGCAGAGUCCAAACUGUAACUGGAGACUCUCAGAUUGAUGAGCUGCAGGUUGUCAGAGAUCAGCUGUGAUUCUUUGGUCCUCAGCUCUGAAGUCCAACCCCUCCUUUCUGAAACAUCUGGACCUGAGUGGAAACAAGCUGCAGGAUUCGGGAGUGAAACAUCUGAGUGGUUUUUGUGGAGAGUCCAGACUGCAUCCUGAAGACUCUGAGAUUGUUUAACUGCAGAUUGUCAGAGAUCAGCUGUGAUUCUUUGGUCUCAGCUCUGACAUCCAACCCCUCCCAUCUGGAACAUCUGGACCUGAGCUACAACAACCUGCAGGAUUCAGGAGUGAAACAUCUGAGUGGCUUUCUGGAGAGUCCAGACUGCAUCCUGAAGACUUUGAGAUUGGAGAGAUGCAGUUUGUCAGAGAUCAGCUGUGAUUCUCUGGUCUCAGCUCUGAAGUCCAACUCCUUCCAUCUGAAAUGUCUGGACCUGAGGAGGAACAACCUGCAGGCCUCGUCAGUGAAACAUCUGUUAGACCUUGUGGAGAGUCCAGACUGCAGCCUGCAGACUCUGAGAUGGAAGUGAUGCUGAUCAGGACCGUGUUUGUGCUGAGAGGAUGAAGUGUGUCCUGAUGAUCCAGAGAUUGAAGCAGCAGCAGCAGCAGCUGGUGUGUAGUGGUUCUGACUGGACCAUGUUACUGAAAGGUGGACUAGGAACCAGUGUAAAGUGUGUUGUUAUCACUGUAUAGUUUAGUGUUGCAGCUCCACGCUGUGAAUGAGAACUGCAUUUAAUGUAGACAUAUGUUGGAGGUUGAUGUCAGGUUGCAGAGUGUGCAGUAAAUUUCAAAGAUGUUUCUGUCAGUGAAAGAUUAUAUACUGCCCAGCCAAAAAAAAAUCACCCACUUAGGUCUGGGCAAUAAAUCAAAUUAAUUCGAUUAAUUCGCCUUUUUAAAACCUGACGAUUUGAAAAUUUGCCAAAUCGUAAAAUCGAGGCGAGCUUAAAUAUAUAACAAUACAGAUUCUUCUUCUGCCUUUUACGACUUCUGCGCUGGCGUUGACACAACAGCAGACGAAGAGUUGGUUGCGAGUAAAGGGCCUCAUGUUACAUCGAUUAUAUGGAAGUGGUUCGGCUUUGACAAGACUGACACAGAGGAAACUACAGUCGUGCAAGAUUUGCAAAAGUACUGUGAAAACGAAGAGUAGCAGCACAACUAACCUCUUUCAGCACCUCCAGCUAAAGAAUGGGAAAAGUGCCCGCAGCUACGGGAGUGCGGCAUGGCUAACACUGGCCAUAGCAAAACCUCAAAGAAACAACAAAAAUCAAUUAAAAUCAUAAUCGUCCAAGAUGACUAAAAAAAUUGGGAUUUUAUUUUUUUGGCCAUAUCGCCCAGCCCUACACCCACUCUAAUAUUUUGUAAGACUGCCUUCAGCUUUGAGUAUGGCACUCAUUUGCUAUGACAUCAUUUCAACAAGCUUCUGCAAUUAUGCUGCAUUAUGUUUCUGCAUGUUGUAACUCAUUUUGAGGGCCUAAACAUGCUCAAAAACCUCCUGAAAGUUUGCACACACAUCAGAACUGGCAAAAAAUUACAUUUUUUUAGAGGAAUUGCACACGUGUUUGGCAGAAUCUCUCCAUACCUAUACUUUCCUACAGGCAGGACAUUUCACCGACAUCUACCAAAUUUGGCAUGCAUAUGCAGCACGUCAGGCUGAACAAAAACCUCUGUGGCAGCUGUAUCCCAAGCCAAACAAGAAGUCUACUAUUUUGCGCAGGCUGUCAGAUUUGUGACCAUUUUUGUCACAGUACAGGUGUGGAACCCAACAUAAGAGCACACAGAGACAGGUCAAAAUCGACAGGUUUUAUUACAAAUAAUGCCAACACUAUACAACACAACUGGGGGUGAGUAGCCCCUCAUGGACAGCUAAGGCGGCUCUGGGCUCCUCCUUGAUAGGGAACGCAAUGUCAAGCUCCCCCAGGGCACGAGAGGCCAGGAAUGGCCAGGACGUAGGGCUGGUACAAGGAGACGCCAGCAAUGUUGGCUGGUGGUGCCAGUGACGUCAGGGCGCUAGGGGGUGGCAAAGUUCGAUGCUUUCUGGAGCCACGCCUCCUGUGGGAAGCCUUUCCCACUGGUAGCUCUACAGAACGAUGGAGGGGUGGAGGGAUGAAGCUGGUCCUCGCCAAAGAGGGGGGCCCAGGUCACUGGCAAGUGGCCAGGUCAGAUGGAGCAGUCGGGGGUCCAGGUCCUCUUCAGGAGCCGGGUCCAGAUUCACCGGUGGACGGUCAGGUCAGGCAGAGUUGAGCAGAACUGGACAGUGCAGUCAACAGAAAGCAAAGCUGAUGCUACAGUCUGGCAAGGAGUGGAAUCAUGAGCUGGGUUUUAUGGGGUGACUGAUGAGCCAGGUGUGCUGAUCCGUAGCUGUCCGGAGUUCCUGGUGAUUGAAUUAACUUGAUAAUUAACAGUUGCAGGAGAGCACUGUGGAAAGGAGACUGAGCAGAGUGAUGGAGGCAAGGGUGUCAGUUUGUUUUUAAAAGUGGGGGGGAUGGAGACCACAGCCAUUGUCAGAUGGAAAUGCACACCCUGGGUGGCGUGCUGGGUAAUCGGGAACACCGGGGAUAUCCCUGGUGGGCCGCUUUAUUGUUGGGCCGCUCCAGUCAUAAAUAAUAAUAAUAAUGAUAAUAAUAAUAAUAACGCUUUAAAUCAUGGGUCUCAAACUCGCGGGCCAACUGCGGUCCGUGGGACGAUAUUUUGUGGCCCUCUACUUGAGAUCAAAGUUUAGCAUUGGUGCGGCACGCCUGCUUUUCUCAUAUGCUUCCAUGUCAUUGGUAAGACAGCACUUUGAGAAAAUGUCGAAGAACGGCGGCAAAAUGCCACAAGCUGGGCUCGAACUCACAACCACCGCACCAAAGGCGAAGGCGCAACCUGUUGAGCUAUCGGUACAUGCGGGUAGAGGGGUCUGUGGGUCGCUAUAAUACUAAUUCUCCCGGGCCGAAAUUUUGCCCCUGCACACCACUGGUCGGAGCUUCCACUUGGCACGGGCGCAAAUUUAGCAUCUGCACGUUUUUUUAUUUAAACCUCACGAAGGUAUGCUGCUUGUCUGUGCAACUCUCGGCCGAGUGCGGAUGGUGCGUUCAGGAGCGUCGGAAUUUUCUAUACUACUGAAAAUAACUGGGUUUACAACGGCUUACAUGUGAAGAAUUUGAAUGUGUUGGAGACAAAAUGACCCCUGACAAAAAGUGGGGGGGACACAUCCCCACCGUCCCCCCCUAAACUGACACCUAUGGAUGAAGGGAAAGAGAGGGAGAACAGAAAGAGGAAGAACAAAACAAUUGGGGAGAAAAAGGUCAGGUGGGGCAGAUGCAGAGACUUCGGAUUGGGCCAGGCAGGGGCCUUGACAAUUUUUUUUUUUUAUCAUUUUCAAGAGUGAACUCCUCAAAGGGGGUAACUCUAUGACACCUCAUAUUUAGGUAAUGUAUACAACAGGCCUUAAUGGGUGUGGUCACGGUGGCCUCCAUAAUUUUGAUCAUUUGCCAUGAAAGAAAAGCACCAUCUAACUGCCCUCUGCAUUGCUGCAAUCUGCCUCAAACUUUACAUGUCUGAUCACAGUCUUGCCCUGAUACAUUGCACGUCAAAAUACAGUCAGUCAUAGCACCACCCAGUGGCAACAGGAAAUGUUUUUUUUACACUUUGAUGUACAGUGAACCCUCGCUAUAACACGGUUCACCUUUCACGGCUUCGCUGUUUCACGGAUUUUUUUAGGGCAGUUUUUUUAUGCUUUUUUAAACAGCGCAUUGUGUUCUGCAUCCUGAUUGGCUAAGGGACUGACCAACGUGAACAGUCUCCGUGCCUGGUCUCCUCUGCCAUACAGGCCAGCGCUGCCUGCUGUGGAGCGCUGGAUCAUUUCUCUCCUUGUAGUGAGACACCCUGAAAGACGGAGCCGACAGAGCAGCCUUCUUUUCCCCCGCCGUCAACCGGACAGUGGAUGUGGUCCCCAGCCAUCUCUGGCCACCGCAGCCGCGCUCACCAGGAGAAGAGCACUGGCGUGAGCCUUCCCCACCCCCGACUGCUCCGAUUGAUUCAGCCGGCCCGCUCUCUGAGGCAAGAGUACCGCUGCGGCGUACACCUGGCUGCAGCUGCAGCGCUCCCCCAAGUGCAGUAUUGUAUAAUAACUGUAAAAAAUAAAGCUGACUACUUCACGGAUUUCACCUAUCGCGGGUUCUUUUUGGAACGUAACCCCCGUGAUAAACGAGGGUUCACUGUACUAGUUAGCCUGUUGCCAAUAUUCAUGUUCAUUAUUCUUUCAUUGUCUUUACACUGGUUUCCACUUAUUUCUGCCUCUUUAUAUUGGCUACCAGUAUGUUUCAGUCUUUUUACAUUGGUUCCCAGUAUAUUUUAGCCUCUUUAUAUUGAUAUGUUGUAGCCUUGUCACACUGGUUCUUAGUAUGUUUCAUUUUGUUUAUAUUGAUUCCCACUAUGUUUCAGCCUCUUCAAACUGGUUCCCAGUAUGUUUUAGUCUCUACAGACUGGCUCUCAUUAUGUUUGAUAUAUUCUCUUUAUAUUACCUGCCACUAUCUUUCAGCCUCUAUAAACUGGCUCCCAUAAUGUUUUAGUCUGUUUAUACUGUCUUUAAUCUAUUUCAUCCUCUUUUUAAACACCAAUUUGAGCUUCUUUGUGUCUUUUGCUGAGACUUCUCUGUUUUUUUUUUUUGCCUCCUUAUGAAGCACAUUGUUACUCUGGAGAAUGCUCUGUGUUUGCUUGUACUGUUACGAGGUGAUAUAAUCCUUGAAACUGGUCAGCUUAGUCUCAGUAAAGUAAAUGUGUAUCUAUUUGUGUGUAUGUAUGUGAUUGUUUUGUGGAUCUAAAUGUGUGUGUUUGUAUUUUUUGUGUUUGAACUUGUGUGUGUUGGUGUAUGUGAGUUUCUGUGUGCGGUUGUGUGAUUGUGUGUGUCUGUAUACAUAUUUUGUUUGUUUGUAAAUGUGUUUCUAUUUGUAUGUGUGUGCUUGUGUUUCUCUGUGUGCCUGUGUAUUUGCAUGUCUCUUGUUGCGUUAUUUGUGUGUGUGUGUCUGUGUGUGUGUUGUGUUAUUAUGUGUGUUUGUGUGUGUAUUGCUGUAUUGAUGAAUGUCUCUGGGUUUAGAGAAGAAGACAUAGAGGCAGCCAGUGACACACAAUUGAUUUAUGAAAACAGAAAAGACACACAGGCACACACUUGCUUGUUUUAUUUUGUAGUCAGAUGCAGCAGCAGCUUCCUGUCUGGAGUUUUUCCUCAUUUCAAAGCUCUAAGUUGUGUAUCAGAACCAGAUAUAAAUACCUGGAAAUUUAAGCUGAAAUGUUGAUCUUUUGUCUCAUAUUCAUCUUCUGAUGUGAAAUCCAAAUGUUUUCAAUCUACAGCAAAAAUAAAGGAACUGGCCUUGCUGGUCCAAUGCUUUUGGA